rnacentral:rRNA from 1 species
GCAAGUCGAGGGGUAACAGGGAUUGCUUGCAAUCCGCUGACGACCGGCGCACGGGUGCGUAACGCGUAUACAAUCUGCCUUUUGCUGGGGGAUAGCCUUUAGAAAUGAAGAUUAACACCCCAUAGUAUGUAAUAUUCGCAUGGAUAUUACAUUAAAGGUUACGGCAAAAGAUGAGUAUGCGUUCUAUUAGCUAGAUGGUGUGGUAACGGCACACCAUGGCCACGAUAGAUAGGGGCCCUGAGAGGGGGAUC